rnacentral:rRNA from 1 species
CCUACGGGAGGCAGCAGUGGGGAAUAUUGGGCAAUGGGCGCAAGCCUGACCCAGCAACGCCGCGUGAAGGAAGAAGGCCCUCGGGUUGUAAACUUCUUUUUUCAAGGACGAAACACAUGACGGUACUUGAUGAAUAAGCCACGGCUAACUACGAGCCAGCAGCCGCGGUAAUACGUAGGUGGCAGUCGUUCUCCGGAUUUACUGGGUGUAAAGGGUGUGUAGGCGGGACUGCAAGUCAGAUGUGAAAACCAUGGGCUCAACCCAGGGACUGCAUUUGAAACUGUAGGUCUUGAGUGUGGGAGAGGCAGGCGGAAUGCCGGGUGUAGCGGUGAAAUGCGUAGAUAUACCGAAGAACACCAGUGGCGAAGGCGGCCUGCUGGACAGUAACUGACGCUGAGGCGCGAAAGCGUGGGGAGCAAACAGGAUUAGAUACCCUGGUAGUC